UUAAUUGAAGCCAAAAAGAGGCUUAUCACUGUUAAUGAUAGAACUGAGAAUGAUCUCCAAUUAAG
rnacentral:tRNA from 1 species